ACAAAUGUGCGCCGAGUCCUCGUUUCCACUUACCGCCGACAAAAAGCGCCGAGCCGAACAAGAACAUGUCGAAGUCGGCAAAGCCGUCAGAUCAGUCCUACCUCGGCAAUAUCGACGAUAAAAGGCAAGUUUUGGAACCGGGGCGGUUCGUCGUUGGCGUCGGUGACAAACACUCUCACGUUUUCAACCACCUGAAAACAAAACACAAGACAACUAGAACCUCUCGCCUUUCGGACAAUGCAAACUUCCCGAGAUCACCCUAAGGGCUCACCUCUCGAUCCAGCUCCAGAACGAGAGUCACGUUUCCAGACUUGGGAUCCACCCUAAAAUACUCCGUGGAGCCCAUUUGGACCGUCAGACCGUAUCGGAUGGGAUCGCCCUCGGGAUCGCUGCCGUUGAGGACAUAAAUCUGCGUGCCUGGAAAUAAAAGCACGGUGGCAGUGUUGCUGUGCAAACGUCUCUGAUGUUCAUUAUGCGUCGUCACUUGGUGAGUAGUCUUAACUUAUUUUAAUAUACCAUGACUAAGGUCUGAUGAAGAUUUACUAAGGACUAAGAAAGUGAUUGAGACGACUAGAAUGCAUCAAUUGACCUUUAAAAUUAGAAGUCAAAACAAGGACAAAUGUUAUCAAUAUGAAUCAUUUAUUGAAUUCCACUGUUCCCUUACAGACUCCGAACAGAUCCGUAUUCGACAAUAAAUACAAAAUGUUAAUGAACGACGGAUGACGGGCAGAAAGGAAUCAAUUCUACCAUGACUGAGGCCUCUGCCUUUAAGUGCUUUGCUGCAACUUCUUUACCACGUGUUUAGAGACUGCUUGCGAUAAACACCUUGUUUGUUGCUAACUCCGAACACCAGAUAGCUCUGUGGAAGUGUUGAAA